GAUGAACGCUGGCGGCGUGCUUAACACAUGCAAGUCGAACGAGGUUAUUACAGCGGAAGUUUUCGGAUGGAAGCAGUUUUAACCGAGUGGCGGACGGGUGAGUAACGCGUGGGGAACCUGCCCCAUUCCGGGGGAUACCAGUUGGAAACGACUGCUAAUACCGCAUAUGCGCACGGGACCGCAUGGUCCUGGGCGGAAAGAUUUAUCGGUGGAGGAUGGGCCCGCGUCGGAUUAACUAGUUGGUGAGGUAACGGCCCACCAAGGUGAUGAUCCAUAGCCGACCUGAGAGGGUGACCGGCCACAUUGGGACUGAGACACGGCCCAAACUCC
rnacentral:rRNA from 1 species